rnacentral:rRNA from 1 species
UACAGAGGGUGCGAGCGUUAAUCGGAGUAACUGGGCGUAAAGGGCACGUAGGCGGUUAUAUUAGUCUGAUGUGAAAGACCUGGGCUUAACCUGGGAUGUGCAUUGGAAACGGUAUGGCUAGAGUAUGGGAGAGGGAAGUGGAAUUUCCGGUGUAGCGGUGAAAUGCGUAGAGAUCGGAAAGAACACUCGUGGCGAAGGCGGCUUUCUGGCCCAAAACUGACGCUGAGGUGCGAAAGCGUGGGGAGCGAACAGG